GACGAACGCUGGCGGCGUGCCUAAUACAUGCAAGUAGAACGCACAGUUUAUACCGUAGCUUGCUACACCAUAGACUGUGAGUUGCGAACGGGUGAGUAACGCGUAGGUAACCUGCCUGGUAGCGGGGGAUAACUAUUGGAAACGAUAGCUAAUACCGCAUAAUAUUAAUUAUUGCAUGAUAAUUGAUUGAAAGAUGCAACUGCAUCACUACCAGAUGGACCUGCGUUGUAUUAGCUAGUAGGUGAGGUAACGGCUCACCUAGGCGACGAUACAUAGCCGACCUGAGAGGGUGAUCGGCCACACUGGGACUGAGACACGGCCCAGACUCCUACGGGAGGCAGCAGUAGGGAAUCUUCGGCAAUGGACGAAAGUCUGACUGAGCAACGCCGCGUGAGUGAAGAAGGUGUUCGGAUCGUAAAGCUCUGUUGUAAGAGAAGAACGGGUGUGAGAGUGGAAAGUUCACACUGUGACGGUAUCUUACCAGAAAGGGACGGCUAACUACGU
rnacentral:rRNA from 1 species